rnacentral:rRNA from 1 species
GAGUUUGAUCCUGGCUCAGGACGAACGCUGGCGGCAUGCUUAACACAUGCAAGUCGAACGGACUGAUUCCUUCGGGAUGAAAGUUAGUGGCGAACGGGUGAGUAAUGUAUGAGCAACCUGCCUCUGUCAACGGGAUAACAGUCGGAAACGACUGCUAAUACGGUAUAUGACCACAGCACCGCAUGAUGCAGCGGUAAAAGAUUUUAUCGGACAGAGAUGGGCUCAUAUCCCCAUUAGGUAGUUGGUGAGAUAACAGCCCACCAAGCCGACGAUGGGUAGCCGAGCUGAGAGGCUGAUCGGCCACAUUGGGACUGAAACACGGCCCAGACUCCUACGGGAGGCAGCAGUGGGGAAUAUUGGGCAAUGGAGGCAACUCUGACCCAGCAAUGCCGCGUGAGUGAUGAAGGUGGUUUCAUUGUAAA